UACGGGGGGGGCAAGCGUUGUUCGGAAUUACUGGGCGUAAAGGGCUCGUAGGUGGCCAACUAAGUCAGACGUGAAAUCCCUCGGCUUAACCGGGGAACUGCGUCUGAUACUGGAUGGCUUGAGUUUGGGAGAGGGAUGCGGAAUUCCAGGUGUAGCAGUGAAAUGCGUAGAUAUGUGGAGGAACACCGAUGGCGAAGGCAGCCCCCUGGGUUAACACUGACGCUCAUGCACGAAAGCGUGGGGAGCAAACAGG
rnacentral:rRNA from 1 species